CCGACGAACUGCUACGGUGCCACGCCACAAGGGGCGAUCGACUGUUCACUCGGCUCUCUCUCUCUGCCACCAGAUCUACUUACCCGUCGUCAAGGGGUUCGCCGUCACCGUCGUGAUAUUCUAUUCCCGCGGGUUCAGUUCAGCCAUCGCUGGCUCCGUUGUUGCCAGCGUUGCCGUCGUCCUCUGACGUCGUUGUGAGUUUGAGAUUAUAGAACAUGCUCAGUGGAUCCGAAACAAAGCUAUUUUGCUCACUCAUUUCUCGUCCCACUAUAAUAUGGAGCACCAAAAUGGCAAAAGGUUUGAUAUGGGCAACAGCAGAGGAUUUGGCAAGAAAUAAAGGGCAGGUUCUUUCUCUUUAUCGCCAACUAUUGCGGAGUCUUAACUCCCCUGAUUUGCUGCUAAACUUGGCAGCAUGCCUGGCGAAAAGAGCAGAGGUUCGUGCCAUCUUCAUGGUGGCUUCUGAGGAGCGAUCCCUUCAUAACAUCCAAGAUCUCUUUGAUGCUGCUGAUUACUCCCUCUCUCUAUUAAGAAAAGGCGAAAUCCCCAAAUACAUCCAAUGAGUUAAGUUCCUCCUCAUCUUGUAGUCUCUCUUUGUGCAACUGUGUGCAUGAUCAUGAUGAUGCUUUGUAAAUUAGUUUGUGGUUCACAAGUGCAGGGAGGGAUGAAUAAUGUUGACUUAACUUUGACAAAAUUCUUUAUUGUAUCUGGAUCAUUGUGUAAAAUGAGCUGAGGCUACCUUUAUUAAUAAUCUAUGUUGUCAAGUUUCGACAACCUUUCAAUACUAGUGUAAUAUGUUUGUUAUGCUACUUUAGAAUGCAUCAUCUAUUUAAAGUUGUCUUUCGGUAUUUGGAACUUUUCGUUCCAUAUACAUCAUGUUUUACCAUUUCCUCACCUUCAUAUUUAUGAGAAACUUUAAUUCUUUGUUUGUCACAGAUUGACACAUAUUUAUGUUUGCCUGAUAAUCAAUUAAAUAAGAUGUUUUUAAAACCUCAAUCAUCAAUGGCCCAUUUUAGCAAGUUAUUCUAGUUGAUUCAUGAUUUGCAAGAAUUUGGGAACCAUGGCCAAAAGUCGAAUUUUACUUAACUUAAGUGGAAAAGCCCUCUGUUAUUCAAGUUGUUUUAUUCUUUUGGUCACGCAUAAAAGAUAUGUACAGUUAUUGAUGUGUCCCUGCCAUGCCAGUGGUUGUCCAUGUUGUGUCCAUGUCUCGUGUCUAUUCAUACUUCUUAGUAGAAUGGAGCUACGACGCACGGACACGGACACCAACAAGGGGACACAGGAAUUCUAAAAAAAUGGGGACAUGGACACGGCGGGGGACACGCCAUGUGUAUAUUUAUUUAUAUAUAUAAAUAUAUAUAUUUUUCAAGUUUAAAUGGCAAAAUGUAGACAAAACAUAAUAUCCAUAAUUCUAAUACCAUUCAAACAAAACAAGACAUCUAUGAUCCAUAAGUUCAAUACAGUCCAAAUACCCAAUUGAAACAAAACAUGAUAAACAUCCAUAGUUCCAUAAUAAAUUAUGGGACACGCCACAUAGCGUGUCCCCAGCCGUGUCCCCCUAAAAAAUUUAUAUUACGUGGCGUGUCCCAUUUUUACCAUCUGUCUUCAUAAUAAAUUAUGAAGACAGAAAAGGAGUGUGAUAGUAUAAAAAGGGAGUGCAAAAUCAAUUACCUUUGGUAUACUCUGUGACUUCUUUAUGAUUUAGGAAAGUAAUUGAUUUUAGCACUCCAUUUUUACCAUCUGUACUCCUUGUCUUGUCUUUAUGACGUGAAUCUACAAUAUUGUCCUUUUCUGUGUGGAAAAGUGAGCAAACAAAAGCGUAAAUAUGUAAAUUCACUUGAAUCAAGACCAAAAAAUGAGAGCAGGAAAUACAAAAAAGAAGUGCAAAAUCAUUACCAAGAUUAAUAUGCUAUUUUGGGUUUGGUAUCGUUAAUGUGAGGAGCUCAGUGGAAUGAAGCUCUCCGUGUUUGAAAAUGAACAUACUUGUGUAGUGUCAUGUGGAGUUAUGUUUUUCCUUUUUGUUCUACUACUCAGAAGUCAGAUGGUAGAAACUGUUUAUGUUCCUUGUAAUUCUAAUUAGUGUUAUUCAUUGUGCAGAUAUGCACAGCAGACAGAUGCAGAGGUCAACUAACAAGGAGCCUGCUCCUUGAGCCCCGUGCAACCAUGAAUGUCAAACCAAAUCUCCAGAUUAUUGCUGAUGAUGUGAAGUGCUCAAAUGGAGCUGCAAUUAGUGAUCUAGAAGAGAACCAACGAGCGCUCUUCUAGAAGAGAACCAACUCUUCUACUUUCAGGCAAGGGGAGUUGACUAACAGACGGCUAGAAGAGCGCUCAUCUUCUCCUUUGGAGCUGAGGUGAUUCAGUGUUUGCCUCGCGAUUUUCUCCAAAAGAAAGUGGAAAGUGAUAUCAAAGAAUUGUUGGAUCCCUCAGUGAAACUGUUCCUAGUGAAAGGAGUGUAUUUCCACCAAAGCAGUUUGUAAAAAUCAGAACUAGUUGUGCUGACAAAAUAGUGGUUGCAACA